rnacentral:rRNA from 1 species
AUACCAGGUGCUGUGAGCAU